GGCGAACGGGUGAGGAACACGUGAGGAAUCUGCCUUUCACUUCGGGAUAACUCCGGGAAACCGGGGCUAAUACCGGAUAUUUUCAACUGGCGGCAUCGCCGGUUGAAGAAAGUUUUUCGGUGAAAGAUGACCUCGCGGCCUAUCAGCUUGUUGGUGAGGUAAUGGCUCACCAAGGCGACGACGGGUAGCCGGCCUGAGAGGGCGACCGGCCACACUGGGACUGAGACACGGCCCAGACUCCUACGGGAGGCAGCAGUGGGGAAUAUUGGGCAAUGGAGGAAACUCUGACCCAGCGACGCCGCGUGAGGGAUGAAGGCCUUCGGGUUGUAAACCUCUUUCAGCAGGGAAUAAGCGAAAGUGAAGGUACCUGCAGAAGAAGCACCGGCUAACUAUGUGCCAGCAGCCGCGGUAAUACAUAGGGUGCAAGCGUUGUCCGGAAUUAUUGGGCGUAAAGAGCUCGUAGGUGGUCGAUCACGUCGGAUGUGAAAAUCUGAGGCUUAACCUCAGACCUGCAUUCGAUACGGGUUGACUAGAGUGUGGUAGGGGAGACUGGAAUUCCUGGUGUAGCGGUGGAAUGCGCAGAUAUCAGGAGGAACACCGAUGGCGAAGGCAGGUCUCUGGGCCAUUACUGACACUGAGGAGCGAAAGCGUGGGGAGCGUACAGGAUUAGAUACCCUGGUAGUCCACGCCGU
rnacentral:rRNA from 1 species